rnacentral:rRNA from 1 species
GACGAACGCUGGCGGCGUGCUUAACACAUGCAAGUCGAACGGUAAGGCUCCAGCUUGCUGGGGUACACGAGUGGCGAACGGGUGAGUAACACGUGGGUGACCUGCCCUGCACUUCGGGAUAAGCCUGGGAAACUGGGUCUAAUACCGGAUAGGACCGCACCGUGAGGGUGUGGUGGAAAGUUUUUUCGGUGUGGGAUGGGCCCGCGGCCUAUCAGCUUGUUGGUGGGGUAAUGGCCUACCAAGGCGGCGACGGGUAGCCGGCCUGAGAGGGUGGACGGCCACAUUGGGACUGAGACACGGCCCAGACUCCUACGGGAGGCAGCAGUGGGGAAUAUUGCACAAUGGGCGGAAGCCUGAUGCAGCGACGCCGCGUGGGGGAUGACGGCCUUCGGGUUGUAAACUCCUUUCACCAUCGACGAAGGGUUUCUGACGGUAGAUGGAGAAGAAGCACCGGCUAACUACGUGCCAGCAGCCGCGGUAAUACGUAGGGUGCGAGCGUUGUCCGGAAUUACUGGGCGUAAAGAGCUCGUAGGUGGUUUGUCGCGUCGUCUGUGAAAUUCCGGGGCUUAACUCCGGGCGUGCAGGCGAUACGGGCAUAACUUGAGUACUGUAGGGGAGACUGGAAUUCCUGGUGUAGCGGUGAAAUGCGCAGAUAUCAGGAGGAACACCGGUGGCGAAGGCGGGUCUCUGGGCAGUAACUGACGCUGAGGAGCGAAAGCAUGGGGAGCGAACAGGAUUAGAUACCCUGGUAGUCCAUGCCGUAAACGGUGGGCGCUAGGUGUGGGUUUCCUUCCACGGGAUCCGUGCCGUAGCUAACGCAUUAAGCGCCCCGCCUGGGGAGUACGGCCGCAAGGCUAAAACUCAAAGGAAUUGACGGGGGCCCGCACAAGCGGCGGAGCAUGUGGAUUAAUUCGAUGCAACGCGAAGAACCUUACCUGGGCUUGACAUACACCAGAUUGGGCUAGAGAUAGUUCGUCCCUUUGUGGUUGGUGUACAGGUGGUGCAUGGUUGUCGUCAGCUCGUGUCGUGAGAUGUUGGGUUAAGUCCCGCAACGAGCGCAACCCUUGUCUUAUGUUGCCAGCAUUUGGUUGGGGACUCAUGAGAGACUGCCGGGGUUAACUCGGAGGAAGGUGGGGAUGACGUCAAAUCAUCAUGCCCCUUAUGUCCAGGGCUUCACACAUGCUACAAUGGUCGGUACAACGCGCUGCGACACUGUGAGGUGGAGCGAAUCGCUGAAAGCCGGCCUUAGUUCGGAUUGGGGUCUGCAACUCGACCCCAUGAAGUCGGAGUCGCUAGUAAUCGCAGAUCAGCAAUGCUGCGGUGAAUACGUUCCCGGGCCU